AUUGAACGCUGGCGGCAUGCUUUACACAUGCAAGUCGAACGGUAACAGGCCGCAAGGUGCUGACGAGUGGCGAACGGGUGAGUAAUGCAUCGGAACGUGCCCAGUCGUGGGGGAUAACUACUCGAAAGAGUAGCUAAUACCGCAUACGAUCUAUGGAUGAAAGCGGGGGACCGUAAGGCCUCGCGCGAUUGGAGCGGCCGAUGUCAGAUUAGGUAGUUGGUGGGGUAAAGGCUCACCAAGCCAACGAUCUGUAGCUGGUCUGCGAGGACGACCAGCCACACUGGGACUGAGACACGGCCCAGACUCCUACGGGAGGCAGCAGUGGGGAAUUUUGGACAAUGGGCGCAAGCCUGAUCCAGCAAUGCCGCGUGCAGGAAGAAGGCCUUCGGGUUGUAAACUGCUUUUGUACGGAACGAAACGGCUCUGGUUAAUACCCGGGGCUAAUGACGGUACCGUAAGAAUAAGCACCGGCUAACUACGUG
rnacentral:rRNA from 1 species